AAUUCCGUAUAUUCCGUUAUAAAAUCAUUCCGCGUUAAGACGAAGCCGCUAUGAUAACGUUCUGCGUUAACAUGAGUCCGCGAGGACGGCUGAAUACGCUGUAGUGGCCAUGCCAGACCAGUAGCUGGCGAUGUAGAGCUGUAGUGAAACAGUGGCGGUAAAACAUGCGCCUGCGCACAAACGAUUUCCGGUUUAGACAGCCUUUAAAUCAGGAGAAGAAGAAGAAGAAGAGGCGGGCAACACUAUUUACAAACAACAAUGGCGAGUGGUCGUACAAAGACGCAGGACUUCUUUGUCUGGACAGACGACGAAGUUGGGUUGUUGCUGGAUGUGGCCCUGAACUACAAAACAACCAAAUGGCAGGAGAAUGUUGACUGGGAAUCUUGCCAGUCGAAGUACGCCGACAUUUUGGGGGACUUUGUGCAGCAAUACCCGGCGAGCACCACUGCAGGAGGGAAGGACUUCCCUCAUCAUAAAUACGGCAUAACAAAAAGUCAGGUAACUUCGAAAUUAAAGGCCAUUCGGGCGAAGUACCGUAAGGCCGUGGACACCGGACGGCGAAGUGGCCACGGACGUGUUGUCUACAUAUUUUUUGACAAAUGUGAACAAAUUUGGGGUGGGUCGCCUGCUACAAACGCCUUGGAGGCUGGUAUCGAGUCUGAGGACAUGCUGUCCAGCUCCGAGGGCCCCUCCACCUCCAGCAGAUGUUCGACUCCAGCUGCACAAAUGCCUCCGGUGUUGGAUCCGGUGCCGAGUCCUGACGAUGAGAACGUGAGCUUCCAGCUCCCACCAGAGGUUGUUGGUCGACGCGACAUGCUCCAAACAAGGCUUCUUAACAACAGAAGGAAUCGGCUGAAGCACAAGCUUCAUGGAGACCCAGCUGUGCAGGAGGAUCUCAUCCUGAAGAAGCGAAUGGUGGACCUGCUGGAGGAGUCAGAGAGGAGGACCAGCGAAAGGCUGGACAGGAUCACAGACAAUAUAGCCACCAUCACAAAGACAAUUACUGAUGUGCUGCAUCAUAUGAUGAUGCAGCCAAACCCCUUUCCCUUUGCUGGCAGCAGUUUUAUGAGGAGAAAAGAUCUCCAGCUCCUGCCUACGGAUAAAGAAAAUGUUGAAACUAUAAAGAAAGAGGAGAGCCCUAGUCCACGCCAGGGGGACCUAAAGCCCCCCCACAUUAUAAACGAAGAGGAGAGCUCCAGUCCACACCAGGGGGACCUAAAGCCCCCCAACAUUAUAAAGGAAGAGGAGAGCUCCAGUCCACACCAGGAGGACCUAAAGCCCCCCCACAUUAUAAACGAAGAGGAGAGCUCCAGUCCACACCAGGAGGACCUAAAGCCCCCCCACAUUAUAAACGAAGAGGAGAGCUCCAGUCCACACCAGGAGGACCUAAAGCCCCCCCAUAAUAUAAAGGAAGAGGAGAGCUCCAGUCCACACCAGGAGGAUGUAAAGCCCCCCCACAUUAUGAAGAAAGAGGAGAUGGAGUUAACCAUCCCACGGCUCGAUCCAGAAUUAGAUUUACCCCCCCUCACUGAUAUUAAGACGGAAGAUUCUUCUGACACAGAUGACAGUGAAGAUUGGAAAUAAAGCCGGCCCAAUGAAAAGGUCAUGUGAACGCAGAAGCAGAUGGAGCAGAAGGAUCAGAACCGCCAUGAGUCAUUCACAGAGGAUACAUGAAAGGAAUGACAGAAGGACUCGAACCAUCAGCCCUGUUAUAGCAUUUUGUUUUGGUUAGUUUUAUAAAACUACCUGUGAUCCUACAGAUGUGACAUUCUUUACAUAAAUCACUUAUCAUCUCUGGAGAUAAAUAAA
rnacentral:lncRNA from 1 species